UACGGGGGGGGCAAGCGUUGUUCGGAAUUACUGGGCGUAAAGGGCUCGUAGGCGGCCAACUAAGUCAGACGUGAAAUCCCUCGGCUUAACCGGGGAACUGCGUCUGAUACUGGAUGGCUUGAGUUCGGGAGAGGGAUGUGGAAUUCCAGGUGUAGCGGUGAAAUGCGCAGAUAUCGGGAAGAACACCCGUGGCGAAGGCGGCACUCUGGGACGGUACUGACGCUGAGACGCGAAAGCGUGGGGAGCAAACAGG
rnacentral:rRNA from 1 species